CGCCGAAGCGAUGCGUGCGGUACGGCGCGUCGUGAGAGGGAACCCGGUGAGAGUCCGGGACUGUCCCGCAGCGGUAUGCAGGAACGACCGCCGUCAACAGCACUGAAGAGGCCUCUUCGGGAAGCGACGGCCAGUAGGAGUGGACUGUUCGUCCACGUGCCCGCGAGUCCGAAUACCUGCCGUCUGUGCUGUGCACGC
rnacentral:ncRNA from 2 species